rfam:Hordeum vulgare subsp. vulgare, WGS project CAJW01000000 data, contig: morex_contig_234207
AAUGUACUACCUCCGUCCCAAAAUAAGUGACUCAAAAGUGACUUAACUUUGUACUAAAGUUAGUAUAAAACCGAGUCAUUUUUGAGUCACUUAUUUUGGGACGGAGGGAGUAGUAG